rnacentral:rRNA from 1 species
UGCCAGCAGCCGCGGUAAUACGUAGGGAGCGAGCGUUAUCCGGAAUUAUUGGGCGUAAAGCGUGCGUAGGCGGUUCGUUAAGUCAAAUCUGAAAGCCCACAGCUUAACUGUGGAGGGUGAUUUGAAACUGGCGAGCUUGAGUACGGCAGAGGUUAGUGGAAUUCAAUGUGUAGCGGUGGAAUGCGUAGAUAUAGGAAGGAACACCAGUGGCGAAGGCGACACCCUGGACCAAUACUGACGCUGAUGCACGAAAGCGUGGGUAGCAAACAGGAUUAGAUA